GAUGAACGCUGGCGGCGUGCCUAAUACAUGCAAGUCGAGCGAACAGACGAGGAGCUUGCUCCUCUGACGUUAGCGGCGGACGGGUGAGUAACACGUGGAUAACCUACCUAUAAGACUGGGAUCACUUCGGGAAACCGGAGCUAAUACCGGAUAAUAUAUUGAACCGCAUGGUUCAAUAGUGAAAUACGGUUUUGCUGUCACUUAUAGAUGGAUCCGCGCCGGAUUAGCUAGUUGGUAAGGUAACGGCUUACCAAGGCAACGAUGCGUAGCCGACCUGAGGGGGUGAUCGGCCACCCUGGAACUGAGACACGGUCCAGGCUCCUACGGGAGGCAGCAGUAGGGAAUCUUCCGCAAUGGGCGAAAGCCUGACGGAGCAACGCGGCGUGAGUGAUGAAGGUCUUCGGAUCGUAAAACUCUGUUAUUAGGGAAGAACAAAUGUGUAAGUAACUAUGCACGUCUUGACGGUACCUAAUCAGAAAGCCACGGCUAACUACGUG
rnacentral:rRNA from 1 species